UACAGAGGGGGCAAGCGUUGUUCGGAAUUACUGGGCGUAAAGGGCGCGUAGGCGGCCUGUUAAGUCGAACGUGAAAUCCCCGGGCUCAACCCGGGAACUGCGUCCGAAACUGGCAGGCUCGAAUUCGGGAGAGGGAUGCGGAAUUCCAGGUGUAGCGGUGAAAUGCGUAGAUAUCUGGAGGAACACCGGUGGCGAAGGCGGCAUCCUGGACCAUUACUGACACUGAAACGCGAAAGCCAGGGGAGCAAACGGG
rnacentral:rRNA from 1 species